GGCAGAAAGAACACCUCCUUCCUGCUCCCAGGCUCAGGCCAACUUGGGGAGGGGUGGCCCUCAGACUUCAGCUGUUUGCCUGGAAUCCCAGGCACAGCUGUUGAGCCCACAGUGUGUAAUUCACCCAGGAGGCCUCCUCUCUGUGGCCUAAGUAGGAGAUGACCUCAUUAGCUUAGGAACAGCUGCCGCUGCCAGGACGACUCAUGAGGGGAACUGCCUUCUUUCCUUCGAGUCAGAGAAGUCUGUUGCGGAUCCCACACUCCUUGGCACCCAGAAAGCCACACGGAGGAAACUGGCAUGGAGUCUUUGACUGUCAGCAGAGGACAUCUGGGCUCCCUUUUCUGACUCCCUGCCAUGGCCAGGCCCUCUGUGUCUGCUUCUCUGGAGUCCUCACAAGAAAGUCCAGCGACAGACAGCUGCACUGCCUCGUGACCACAGAUCGGCCAGUGAUGGUUGGAUUCCAUGGACACACUGAUGUCUGUGCCAGGCAGAAGGCUAAGCUGGUCCUCAGCUGAUGCCCUUGAGCACAGUAAAGAAAAAUUACACGAGUAUUUUGUCAAGACAUGAAGUCACAUAACAGAAUAACCAAGUCCAAGUUGGAUUUCAUAUGUUUUGUGUGUCUAGAAGACAAAGAAGAAGGCUCACCCCAGGUCAGGUUUCAGGAUGUCAUGCUAAUUCCUUAUGGUAGCCACAGGAAACUGAAGCGUGAGAUAGUGAAUGCUCUGGAAGAUGGUCCUGGCAGAGCGGAACACCUUCUGGUGGAUUUCAGAAUGACUUUAGAGUCACAGAAAAGUUGCAGAGUUCCCAUACAUUCUUCAUCCAGAUCACCCCAGAGAUGUGAUUACCCAAACUGGAAGAGGCUAGGAAAGAGUAUCAGGUCGUCAGAAACGGGGAUGACAGUGUUGUGAAUUACCAGGAGGCACGGUGCUAGUUCCAGGGGGUGAACAAGGCAGUCACGCUCAGCUGUGACAGACACCGUUUCCUGAUGUCUGCUUUCUUUGCAGCUGUAAAUGGCAAUGGUGACUAGCUCAGACCAAGGUGACUAUGUACAAAUAAGCAGAGAACAGGAUCCUGAACCGCUGAACAAGGUUGUCCAUUCUGACAGAAGUUGGUCCAGUGGGUUUCUUCCUUGAGCACAGACAUGAUUCUGAGAAACACAGCAACAGCAACUAUGAAGUAAGGAGCAAUGAGGACACGGCCAGAGGACUCCUGAGAGGAAGCCCUGCCUUCACUGAGCUGAGCUGUUGACACAAUACUGCUGUGUUAGCCACGGGUUCCAGGACUCAGGCUAUGGGGAUGGAUAACCAGCUUCUCUCACUGAAGCCGUGGUAGCCUAGGUUUUCCUUUACUUCCUAGCACCUAGUUCAUAUAGUGAUAGGAUAUCAUAAAGAUUAAAAUGAGAGUCUUUGUCUCCCA